AUUUUUUGGCGGCAUGUUUGGGCAUUUAUUUGAAUAGGACAGCUUACACAUGAAAGGGGAGGGAGAGUGGGAGUGACAUGCAGCAAAGACCGCAGGUCAGAGUCAAACCCACAGCCACUGCGUCAAGGAGUAAACCUCUGU